rnacentral:ribozyme from 1 species
UGUCCAGCAACUCAUAUUCCUACCUCCUCGUGGUACUGGCCGGGGUACGAGUAAGCUUGGGGUAGAUCGGGCAAGCAACUCCGGUGGGAACUUUGGUCGUAUGUUGACAGGGAAGG